UGUCGCAGUAGCCCAGUUGGAUAGAGCAACGGUCUUCUAAACCGUGGGUCGAGAGUUCGAGUCUCUCCUGCGACAU
rnacentral:tRNA from 1 species